UUUAUAUAUAUAUAUAUAUAUUUUCUCCAUUUGUGGACCCUUUUUAGCCAAUUGAUUUUAGGAUGCCUCUUUAUUAUUAUUAUUUUUUUAUCAUACUUCAUAGGUGCAUUAUUUAUUGUUAUUGAUGCCAAAAAAUUAUUAGUUGUUUUUUGGGAAUGAUAUUUCCAAUUGAUGAUCGAUAGAUCUGAUUUUCCCUCUCUGCAGCCUGCUAUUUAUGUAACCAGU
rnacentral:misc_RNA from 1 species